rnacentral:rRNA from 1 species
AUUGAACGCUGGCGGCAGGCCUAACACAUGCAAGUCGAACGAGAGGCGGACGUGUUAGUAAUGUCUGGGCAACUGCCUGAUGGAUGGGGAUAACUACUGGAAACGGUAGCUAAUACCGCAUACCAUCAGAUGUGCCCAGAUGGGAUUAGCUAGUUGGUGGGGUAAAGGCUCACCAAGGCGACGAUCCCUAGCUGGUCUGAGAGGAUGACCAGCCACACUGGAACUGAGACACGGUCCAGACUCCUACGGGAGGCAGCAGUGGGGAAUAUUGCACAAUGGGCGCAAGCCUGAUGCAGCCAUGCCGCGUGUAUGAAGAAGGCCUUCGGGUUGUAAAGUACUUUAAGUGGGGAGGCGUUACCCGCAGAAGAAGCACCGGCUAACUCCGUGCCAGCAGCCGCGGUAAUUC